rnacentral:rRNA from 1 species
CGGCGGCUCGAGUGGUGGCCACUAUUACUGGGCUUAAAGCGUUCGUAGCUGGUUUGUUAAGUCUCUGGGGAAAUCUUCCGGCUUAACCGGAAGGCGUCUCAGGGAUAUUGGCAGACUAGGGACCGGGAGAGGUGAGAGGUACUCCAGGGGUAGGAGUGAAAUCCUGUAAUCCUUGGGGGACCACCUGUGGCGAAGGCGUCUCACCAGAACGGCUCCGACAGUGAGGGACGAAAGCUGGGGGAGCAAACCGGAUUAGAUACCCGGGUAGUCCCAGCUGUAAACGAUGCGCGUUAGGUGUAUCGGUGACCACGAGUCACCGAGGUGCCGAAGAGAAAUCGUGAAACGUGCCGCCUGGGAAGUACGGUCGCAAGGCUGAAACUUAAAGGAAUUGGCGGGGGAGCAC